rnacentral:lncRNA from 1 species
AUGCCAGACAAAUGAGAGUCCGAGGAAAAUUGCUGUUCUAAUUUACUGUAACGGUUACUCUCUACAUUGGAUUCUGGGCGAUGGCGACCAUUAUUGAUGAAAAUCUUUAGGAUGAUUGAGUCACAACCAAUAAUUGUACGAGGAACUAUCCUAUUUUUGCCACAUGCAAAAGUGGAUCCCAUUUGCAUACUUUACCUCCCACUCACCACCCACAUCCGGUCAACCCCGCUUCUUUUUCAUUUUCUUAUUUCUUCAAUUCCCAACCCAAUAUUCAACUCAC